AUAUGAAAACUGAUCAUAAAAUAAUUGAAUAACAAAAUGUUUUACAUAUAAACGUUCCUAAGACCUUUUUUGGAAAUAAGUAUUAAUAACUAAAUAGAACAAUAACCGUGUAAAGUCAGAGCAGACCUGUAUGCCAUUUAAAACAGCAUCUUAGUUACUGUAUACAUAAAACAUAAAUUCAGCUUUCAAUCUUCUUCGUAAGUUUGUAAACAAAAUAGGACUUCUGGUCAUACAAGAACAAACUAAUGAAUUGAAAUACCUGAGUAUUCCUGUAAAAUAGUCACCUGAUGCUUGUUAGGUAAACCACAUAAGGAAAAUGAGAAUACCAUGGCUGAAACCAUCAACCUGUUCCUUCUGGUGAGAUUUUAGGGAGGAAUAUGGAUUUCUGAACCGUUGAUGAAACCUUGUCCUCCUACGAAGUAAGCAGCCUUCCCCUCACUUCGUGCUAUUUUGAUCGUUGGCCACAACUUGGUUCCUUCUUUCUAUGUCUUCCGGGCUGAGAUGCUCGGCGAAACGCAUACCAUGGCUCUGAAGGAAGGCGUUCUUCCUAGCAGCUUUCCAGACAGCAUCCCUGUAGAAUCUGGUAGUGAAUAGGAUGAUGAUACCCCUGGGUCUUGAAUCGCUUUGCUGUUGCUUCUUGCUGAGGCGAUGUACAACGUCGAUGGUAUCACCAACUUUGUUCUUCUCUGCAGGCAAAACUUCUUGGCAGGCCGAGAGUUCAACUGGAAGAGAAGGAGAUCACUUGCACUCACGCUCCAUUUGGAGGGGUCCCAGGCGGUGAACCAGCCGGUGAAGGUGGGGGGUUCGUACCCCUGCUUGAUGAGGAGGACGGGGGUGUCAGGGUCCCGGGACCCUGGGUGGGUUCGCAGGUACUCCUGACUGGUGACCACAGCCUCCUUCCUCUCCAACUCAUUGGCCUCAUUCCCUACCCAGAGGAAAACCUGGAUGCAACAUGAUCAGAUAUUUGAUGACAGUUCACAAAUGUAAUAUAAAAUAUACAAAAUAAAGUAAGCUUCAUGUGACAGCG